rnacentral:snoRNA from 7 species
CCAGGCUCUGUCCAAGUGGCAUAGGGGAGCUUAGGGCUCUGCCCCAUGAUGUACAGUCCCUUUCCACAACGUUGAAGAUGAAGCUGGGCCUCGUGUCUGCGCCUGCAUAU